rnacentral:snRNA from 1 species
AUUGCUUCUCGGCCGCAUGGCUAAGAUCAAAGUGUAGUAUCUGUUCUUACCAGCUUAACAUCUGAUAGGUCUUCAAUAACUAACACAACAGCUAGCAAAAAUUUCCUUUUAAAAAUACUUAAAAAGAGAGAGAACAAUUUUACAUUUUUUUUCAAAUUCAUUCAUUCUUC